rnacentral:rRNA from 1 species
AUUGAACGCUGGCGGCAUGCCUUACACAUGCAAGUCGAACGGUAACAGGUCUUCGGAUGCUGACGAGUGGCGAACGGGUGAGUAAUACAUCGGAACGUGCCUAGUAGUGGGGGAUAACUACUCGAAAGAGUGGCUAAUACCGCAUGAGAUCUACGGAUGAAAGCAGGGGAUCGCAAGACCUUGUGCUACUAGAGCGGCCGAUGGCAGAUUAGGUAGUUGGUGGGAUAAAAGCUUACCAAGCCGACGAACUGUAGCUGGUCUUAGAGGACGAUCAGCCACACUGGGACUGAGACACCGCCCAGACGCCUACGGGAGGGAGCAGUGGGGAAGUUUGGACAAUGGGCGAAAGCCUGAUCCAGCAAUGCCGCGUGCAGGAUGAAGGCCUUCGGGUUGUAAACUGCUUUUGUACGGAACGAAAAGCCCCGGGUUAAUACCCUGGGGUCAUGACGGUACCGUAAGAAUAAGCACCGGCUAACUACGUGCCAGCCGCCGCAGUAA